rfam:Echinostoma caproni strain Egypt genome assembly, scaffold: ECPE_scaffold0006315
CUCAUUACUUGGCGCCGGGACCAGGGUGACCACGAAUGCCUUGGCCUAAGGUGAAAACUCGCCUUUGCACUCGGGAGGGUUGAAGCCUGCGAUGAUCCGUAAUUGGGAUCGCUCGGAUGCGCACUUUUUGACAGUGGGAACGUCCUCCGACGAUA